UGCCAGACUCCUACGGGAGGCAGCAGUGGGGAAUAUUGCACAAUGGGCGCAAGCCUGAUGCAGCCAUGCCGCGUGUAUGAAGAAGGCCUUCGGGUUGUAAAGCACUUUCAGCGGGGAGGAAGGCGAUAAGGUUAAUAACCUUGUCGAUUGACGUUACCCGCAGAAGAAGCACCGGCUAACUCCGCGCCAGCAGCCGCGGUAAUACGGAGGGUGCAAGCGUUAAUCGGAAUUAUUGGGCGUAAAGCGCACGCAGGCGGGCUGUCAAGUCGGAUGUGAAAGCCCCGGGCUCAACCGGGGAACUGCAUUCGAAACUGGCAGGCUGGAGUGUUGGAGAGGGGGGUAGAAUUCCAGGUGUAGCGGUGAAAUGCGUAGAGAUCUGGAGGAAUACCGGUGGCGAAGGCGGCCCCCUGGACAAAGACUGACGCGCAGGUGCGAAAGCGUGGGGAGCAAACAGGAUUAGAUACCCCAGAAA
rnacentral:rRNA from 1 species